GCCGGGUUAGCUCAGCUGGUAGAGCAUCUGAUUUGUAAUCAGGGGGUCAACGGUUCGAGUCCGUUACCCGGCA
rnacentral:tRNA from 1 species